ACACUCACCUGUCAGGGCAGAUACCACGGUCAGGAUGGCAGUUUUCCCAGGCCCAGGCUUAUCUGCUGCACUCCAGAUGUGCUGACCCCUGCGACUUCCCCAAAUAUAGGACACUCGACUGCAUUAUUUGUGGCAAUCUGGGACGGCUCUCCCCUAGG